GUUUUACUCCCUCCGUCCGAAAAUACUUGUCAUCAAAAUGGAUAAAAAGGGAUGUAUCUAGAACUAAAAUACGUCUAGAUACAUCUCUUCUUAUCCAUUUUGAUGACAAGUAUUUCCGGACGGAGGGAGUACCAU
rnacentral:pre_miRNA from 1 species